rnacentral:rRNA from 1 species
CUACGUAGGUGCCAAGCGUUAUCCGGAUUUACUGGGCGUAAAGGGCGUGUAGGCGGUCUUGCAAGUCAGAAGUGAAAUUCCUGAGCUCAACUCGGGCGCUGCUUCUGAAACUGCAGGACUUGAGUGCUGGAGGGGAUAGCGGAAUUCCUAGUGGAGCGGUAAAAUGCGCAGAUAUUAGGAAGAACACCGGUGGCGAAGGCGGCUACCUGAACAGUAACUGACGCUGAGGCGCGAAAGCGUGGGGAGCAAACAGGAUUAGAUACCCUGGUAGCCCACGCCGUAAACGAUGAAUACUAGGUGUAGGGGGUAUCGACUCCCUCUGUGCCGCAGUUAACACAAUAAGUAUUCCGCCUGGGGAGUACGGCCGCAAGGUUGAAACUUAAAUGAAUUGGCGGGG